CGGCGUGCAGCCCCACGGCCGGGCUGUAGCGCGUGAGCUCCAGGAACACAGCGCGGCUCCUGCGCAGAGGGGUCUGGCUGGACUAAAGGCAAAACUAAAGCCCAGAAGACAGACCAGUGCACCGGAUGCCCGUACCGCGUGAUGGCCAGGAAGGCCCGGCUGUGCAGCUCCUGCUUGAUGGCGCUUUGCAGACGGAGCCAGUGACCACCGAGGCUGUGCCACUGCAUCGGGCCACCAUGCUGAUAUGCCCGGUCCCAGAGCUGCUAGAGAAGAGGUACAGAGGCAGCGAAGACACGUUGAGGGGGAGGACGAGACCAACUGCGAGACGCCGAGUCCCGGGCUCUCAGGACGCUCUCCCGUACCUGCGCCCUCGUCAGCCCAUCACCGAAAGAACGGCCUGACCCAGGGUCACACUGCAGACUUUGCAGUGAGCCGAGAUCAUGCGACUGCACUCCAGUCUGGGCAACAGAGACUCCAUCUCAAAAAAAUAAAUAAAAAUAAAAAAU
ensembl:lncRNA PKD1-AS1 PKD1 antisense RNA 1